AAAGAACUGCAACCGCACAGAUCAGGUCAAGCAAUUGGUAAGCACAGGGAGUGCACCUGUUAUGGCGAGUCUGAGUAUUAGA
rfam:Bacillus beveridgei strain MLTeJB, complete genome.